AGAGUUUGAUCCUGGCUCAGAAUUAACGCUGGCAGAGUGCAUAACACAUGCAAGUCGAGCGAGGCACUUAUUGUAGCAAUACAGUGGGUGCUUAGCGGCAAACGAGUGAGUAACACGUAAGAAACCUGCCUCCGAGCGGUGAAUAACGUGCCGAAAGGCGCGCUAAUGCGCCGUACGGUGCCGGGAAGGCAUCUUCCUGGUACGAAAGGCCCGCAAGGGUCGCUCGGAGUGGGUCUUGCGGCCCAUCAGCUAGUUGGCGGGGUAAUGGCCCACCAAGGCUAUGACGGGUACCCGACCUGAAAGGGUGACCGGGCACGAAGGCACUGAGACACGGGCCUUACUCCUACGGGAGGCAGCAGUGGGGAAUUUUGGACAAUGGGCGAAAGCCUGAUCCAGCAACUCUGCGUGAGGGACGAAGUCUUUCGGGAUGUAAACCUCUUUUGUCAGGGACGAAAGCCCCUUAAAAGGUUUGACGGUACCUGGCGAAUAAGCCACGGCUAACUACGUGCCAGCAGCCGCGGUAAGACGUAGGUGGCGAGCGUUAUUCGGAAUUACUAGGCGUAAAGCGAGUGUAGGCGGGUGCUUAAGUCCACUGUGAAAUCUUCCUGCUUAACGGG
rnacentral:rRNA from 1 species